GGCCGGGAAUGGGCGAGCUCCUGCCGCCGCUGCUCUGCCCGCGUCCCCCGGCUCCGGCGCCGCCUCCUUUCUCGGCCUGAAGCGCGCCUGCACUCGUGAACCCCGGCGGGGAAGGGGCCAUGGGCCGCCUCCCCGAGGCGCGGCGGCUGUGAGGCGGCCGGCGCUCGCUCGGGGAGCCGGGUAGGCGGCCGGCUAGCCAGCCAGCCAGCCAGCCUGUGCCGCGGGAGGGGGGGGUGGCUACGGCCGGGAGGGGAGGUGCCGCUCCCAGCCGGCGGCGGGCACACCGGCGGACACCCAGCGCCUCGGUGCCGGUGACUCGGGGGUGCCCGCUCGCCGCCCGCGCCCCCACCGCCGCCGCGGCGGCGGAUGGAUGGAUGCGGCAUGGCCACGCUGGUGUGCCGGGUGCAGCUGCUGGAUGACACCGACCCCUUCAACAGCACCAACUUCCCCGAGCCCACCCGGCCGCCGCUGUACACCUUCCGGGAGGACAUCCCGCUCGCCACCCAGCUGGCCGGGGUUCACCGCCUCCUGCGUGCCCCGCAGAAGCUUGAUGACUGCACCCUGCAAUUGUCUCACAAUGGUACCUAUCUGGAUCUAGAAUCCACCCUAGCAGAACAAAGAGAUGAAUUGGAAGGCUUCCAGGAAGAUGCUGGGAGGGGCAAGAAGCACAGUAUAAUUCUGAGGACCCAGCUGUCGGUGAGAGUCCAUGCCUGCAUUGAAAAACUUUACAAUUCCAAUGGACGGGAGCUGAGACGGGCACUUUUCUCCUUGAAACAAAUAUUUCAGGAUGACAAGGACUUGGUUCAUGAAUUUGUUGUCGCUGAAGGUCUGACUUGCUUAAUCAAAGUAGGAGCGGAGGCCGACCAGAAUUAUCAGAACUACAUCCUGAGAGCUUUGGGACAGAUUAUGCUCUAUGUUGAUGGCAUGAAUGGCGUAAUAAAUCAUAAUGAAACCAUCCAAUGGCUGUACACACUUAUUGGGUCAAAGUUCCGCUUGGUGGUAAAGACAGCACUGAAGCUGCUGCUGGUGUUUGUGGAAUAUACCGAAUCCAACGCACCGCUUUUAAUCCAGGCAGUAUCUACCGUUGAUGAAAAGAGAGGAGCCAAGCCGUGGUCCAACAUCAUGGAGAUCCUGGAGGAGAAGGAUGGGGUUGAUACUGAGCUACUGGUUUAUGCAAUGACAUUGGUUAACAAGACGCUGUCGGGGUUGCCAGAUCAAGACUCUUUCUACGACGUGGUGGACUGUCUGGAAGAGCUAGGCAUUGAAGCUAUUUCACAGAGACACUUGAACAAGAAAGGAACAGACUUGGACUUAGUUGAGCAAUUUAACAUUUAUGAGCUGACCCUGAGACAUGAGGAUGGCGAUGAGAGUGCUGACCCCCCUCCCAGUGGGCGCAAGGACCGGAGAAGGGCCAGUCUUGGUGCUAGUGAGCGAAGGGGGCUGGAGCGCCGCCGGAGCCGCAGGCACUCGGUACAGAACGUCAAAAGCACUUUAUCAGCCCCUGCGAGUCCAUGCAGUCAGUCGAACCCUAGCUUCAUGCUGGGCCAUGGACAGCGUGUUGAAGACCUCAGUGAGAGUGAGCUGGAGGCUGAGCGCCCCAUGGUCUUACAGGCUGAUGAUGAGGAUGACAGUGCAUUUGAGGCUGAGUUUAAAGCAUCUUCAGUAGAGGAUGAAGAGUAUGAAGAGGAAGAAGAAGAACAGCCAGUCACAGAGCCCAAUACUGAGGAUGAGGGGGAGGAAGAGACCAGUAGGCAGGUCAAAGCCAGUGGGGUCCCAUGUGCUCGGGAGGCUGUGAAUGAAAACCUUUCACAGUGUUCUGAUUCUUCAGCCGUCUCCAGUGCCAUUUCUCCAGCUGAGAGGCCUCUCUCCUGCUCUAGAGCAAAAAGCUCUUCUAGCAGCUCCUCUUCUGUGCCUGAUUCAUCUGUCUCUCAUCAUAACUCUGUCCUUUCGUCACCAUCUUCACCUGCGGCAGCAUUGCUGAGCUCUUCCCAAAAUUCAUCAUCAUCCAUUACUCCAAAGGCAUCUCCAACGGUGGAGAAAUUACCUUAUGUACCACAUACUCCUUUUCACCUCUUCUCCUACGACUUUGAAGAGUCUCCAGCAUCUGUGAAAGAAAAGGAAGCAGAGGUGAUGAGGGAAAACAGAUACAAUAGCUAUGGCAGCAGCUCCUACUCUUCUCCACGACCUUACGCUGGUGUGAGUGCCCCUGCAACACCCACUUCUCGUUAUGGGACAGCACUCUCGCCACCUCAAGAGGCCAAAUCUGACAGGCCAGCUUUGGGUGGUCUCCUUACAUCAUCUUUUCGGCAGCACCAGGAGUCCUUGGCAGCAGAAAGAGAAAGACGACGUCAGGAAAGAGAAGAAAGGUUGCAAAGGAUAGAACGCGAAGAAAGAAACAAAUUCAACCGUGAUUAUUUAGACAAAAGAGAAGAACUAAGACAAGCAAGAGAAGAGAGAUACAAAUACUUGGAGAGGUUGGCAGCAGAGGAGUAUGAGAAGGAGCUGAAGAGUCGGAGCGUAAGCCGAGGCAGAAGUGAGCUGUCCUUGAACCUGAGAUCUCCUUCAGCCCCAUCCUCGCCUGUACCCAAGUGCAUCAGCCCAGCAUCCAUAGAGUCCCAGGAAGAGCUGAAGACCCCUCCCACCCCUUGUGGGACCCCUCAGCCCUCAGAAGUGAGUGCCAGUGAACCCGAACCAGAGACAGAGACAGAACCAGAACCAGAGCAGGAGGCUGAGGCCGAGCAGGGAACGGAGACACCCAAGGAAAUAGAGGCUACAGAGGUGGGACCAGAGAGUGAGGUGGAGCAAGGACCAGAGAGAGAGCCAGAAGAAAGUGCAAUACUCAGUGAAAAAGAGAGGCAGAAUGAGGAAGUGAAUGAAAAAGACAACUGCUCUGCAUCCAGCAUAUCCUCAGCAAGCAGCACUUUAGAGAGGGAAGAGAGAGAGGACAAGUUAACCAGUGACAAUGAAACUGGUCCAUGGUCGCAGACCAUUCAGGAUGCUGGUGUGAAUGAGCAGUGCAGCAACAUCCUCAACAACAAGCGGUUUAUGCUGGACAUGUUGUAUGCGCAUAACAAAAAGCCCAAGGAUGAAGAGGAGAAGGAGCUGGAGGCGAAGGAGGAAAAGAAGGAGACGGAGGAAAGCGAGGAGUCACUCACUAGCCUAGCCAGUAGGAUCUCUAUCCUUCAGGCCACAAAGCAGGCCAAAGACGAAAGUGUCAAAAAGAUGGAGAUCGGAAAUCUGGACAACCAAGGCAGCGUGAAAGCCUUUGCAGAAAAAUUCAACAGUGGUGAGCUGGCCAAGGGGACAGCCAUGCCUGAAGAUGAAAUCAGUGAACAGGUCCCUGAGAAAACACCAGCACAGCCAAAGAAGGAAUCUGACUACAUCUGGGAUCAGCUCAUGGCUAAUCCUAGAGAACUUAAAAUCAAAGACAUGGAUUUUACGGACUUGGGGGAGGAGGAUGAUGUAGAUGUGUUGGACAUGGAUAUGGGUCCUGGGGACUCCCUUGUUCCCCCUCCUCCACCUCCACCUUCUUUUCUGGGUUUGCCUCCUCCACCACCUCCCCCGCUGUUUGGAUGCCCACCUCCACCUCCACCCUCUGCUAAUUUAUUGGCUCCUCCUCCACUGUUCAGCUCUCCUCAGGGUUUAGGGUCACCCCAGGUUUCUAGGGGUCAGCCAGCAUUUAUAAAGAAGAAGAAAACCAUCCGUCUGUUCUGGAACGAGGUACGGCCAUUUGAGUGGCAGUGUAAAAACAACAAACGCUGCAGAGAAUUCCUGUGGUCGAAACUGGAACCCAUUAAGGUGGACACUUCCAAACUGGAGCAUCUCUUUGAGUCUAAAUCCAAGGAACUGCCUGUCACGAAGAAAACUGCUGCAGAUGGGAAGCGACAGGAGAUCAUUGUGUUAGACUCAAAACGAAGCAACGCUAUUAAUAUUGGCUUGACUGUGUUGCCCCCUCCCCGGACUAUCAAGACUGCUAUUUUGAACUUUGACGAAUAUGCCUUAAACAAGGAAGGAAUAGAGAAAAUCCUGACCAUGAUCCCGACAGAAGAGGAGAAGCAAAAGAUCCAGGAGGCGCAGCUGGCGAACCCCGACGUCCCCCUGGGCAGCGCCGAGCAGUUCCUUCUCACCCUCUCCUCCAUCAGCGAACUCUCCGCCAGGCUCCAGCUCUGGGCUUUCAAGAUGGACUACGAGAUAGUGGAAAAGGAAGUUGCAGAACCACUUUUAGACCUGAAGGAAGGAAUGGAUCAACUGGAGCACAAUAAAACUUUGGGAUUUAUCCUUUCUACUCUACUAGCCAUUGGGAACUUUCUGAAUGGAACCAACGCCAAAGCUUUUGAGUUGAGCUACCUCGAGAAGGUUCCAGAAGUCAAGGACACGGUGCAUAAGCAGUCCCUCCUGCACCACGUCUGCACUAUGGUGGUGGAAAAGUUCCCAGACAGCACUGAUCUUUAUUCAGAGAUCGGGGCCAUCACUAGGUCAGCCAAGGUUGACUUUGAACAACUCCAGGAAAACUUAUGUCAGAUGGAAAGACGGUGUAAGGCAUCAUGGGAUCACCUUAAGGCCAUAGCAAAGCAUGAAAUGAAGCCAAGUCUAAAGCAAAAAAUGUCCGAAUUCCUUAAAGACUGUGCAGAAAGAAUCAUAAUCCUGAAGAUUGUUCAUAGAAGAAUAAUUAACAGGUUUCACUCCUUUUUGUUAUUUAUGGGCCAUCCUCCCUAUGCAAUACGUGAAGUCAACAUCAAUAAGUUCUGCAAAAUUAUUAGCGAAUUUGCUCUGGAAUACCGCACCACCAGGGAACGAGUUUUGCAGCAAAAACAGAAACGAGCUAACCACAGGGAAAGAAACAAGACCAGGGGGAAAAUGAUAACAGAUACCGAUGAAGAAGAGGAUGUUGAGUCUGGCAAGUUCUCCAGCAGCUCGCCCCCCUGCCAGAGCCAGCCCCAGGGGCUGCAGUAUGCCGAGGACGCUGCGGAGCACGAGAACAUGAAGGCCGUGCUGAAGACCUCCUCCGUCGGCGGGGAAAGCACCACGGCGCUCGGGGUCCGCACUCGAAGCCGGGCCAGCCGAGGCCGUAUCGGUUCGUGGAACGCUGGCAACGACGAUUCACCUAAUGCAACAGAUGAUGCAGCAGAUGAGAUCAUGGAUCGCAUUGUAAAGUCCGCCACCCAAGUGCCAAGCCAGCGAGCGGUGCCUAGAGAGAGGAAGCGGUCACGAGCAAAUAGGAAGUCAUCUUUUCUGGGAAGUUAGGACAAAGAGGAGACAACAACAGUACCUUUUUCCCAAGGAAGCACUUGCGGCAGGAAAAAAAAAAGCCAAAACAAAACAGGAUAAUGAUAAUAAAAAUACUAUCUAUUUUUCCAUGGAGCUGGCUUUUCUAUUCAGUAAAAACAUUAACAGGGAUUAAGCAUUCAGUAAAUGUUUAGGCUAGGACUGAUUUCCAUUGUAAUUAAUCAUGAUAGAACCCAGUUCCUUUGUUUGUUUGCUCUUCAAGAUCUGGAUGAGGCUCGUAAGUGGAUUAAAAGGCAGUUUCAAAACAAACAUAAAGUUCAGCAGUUUAGCGUGACUUUCAGCUGACACGAUGAAAGAAAGUGUGAAAGGAGAAUAUCUUAACUGAGCUGUUUCACUCUGAUAGAUAUUCAGUAUACCUGGAUGAUGAGUAAACGAAGUAGUUUAGCUGUAAAAUACACUCAGCUGGACUGAUAAUGUGCCACCUCCAGGAAAUGAACAGUGGCCGGCUCUUUUCAAUGCAUGAUGUGAGUUCAACGAGCAGAAGAUCUUCCAGGCAGAAAUAUAACUCGGGUUCUCCAUAAACAUAUUAAAAAGUAGAUUUCUAGGCAUAAUUCAAGGAUCUAGAUUAACAGACGCUAUGAUAUUUAUUAUCUGCAGAGAUAAUAAAGAGACCCUAUUAUCUGGUGGGUUUGAUUCACCACCUUCAAUCUUCAGGCUCCCAUACACAUUCUUUAGCUUUUACCAUCAGCUUGGUAUUCAAUCUGCUCGUGGACAUCAAAGCAAAACGCGGUUGAAAGGAAUGAUUUUCACUGUGCAUUAUGUUGCGUAUGUCUCACUGCUUUCAGUGCAGAACUGAAAAUCUUGUCAGGCUUACUUAGCAAUCAGCAACGAUUUUACUGAACCUGAGCUGAGAUACAUGUUUUUAGCAAAAUCAGAAACCCAAAAGAGGUAUAUGCAGUUGCACUGUAAAAUUUCCUGUGGUUCAGGUAGAAGAUUCUCAUGGGCAACAGAUUUUUUUUCCAUUAAAAAAAGACGGAAAAAUGUGAAGUGAAAACAAGUGAUACUCGAGUCGUUUAUAACUAGGGGAAAACAGAAACAGGGAUAUAGAAAAGGUUAAAUUAAAUUCAAGAAAUAGUUAUACAGGAAAAUGAGAUAUUUGACAUGUUCAUUUGAACCGUUUUAGCUCUUGCAAUUGUUGAGCAGCGGAGCUGUGUCUGGUAUGCAGAGAGCUUAGAUCUUAAUGACGUAGAAGAGUUUGAACUCAGAGCAAUCAGCAGAACCAUAAAUUGGGAGGAGAAAUAAGGCAGUGAGUCAUCCAACAAAAGACAGAUGGAAGCGUCUGUAUCUGUUGGUUGAAGAUACGAGGGGUCACUGAUAAAUCCAGAUAUGACUGAAGUCAACUGAGACCUAGUAGGGAGGAAUUUGUUCCGUGGGAGAUGAAGUGGACUACAGAAAGCUAAGGCACCUGUGAGAAGGACACUAAAGAGCGGACUGACACCAGAAGAAGCCAAAGCACUGGGCCUCAUCAGCACCUCUGAGAUGCAGGUUUGACGUCCCAGAGGUGGCGACAAGAAGAGCCGUUCAUCUGAAGCACACAGGCUGACAACCCUUCGGUGUGGCAUUGACCUGCCAGCCUCCUCUGCUGCUCCCAACGUCCCGUCCUCUCUUAUUUUCAUUCUAAUAAGCAACAAAAGUGGAACCCCACAGCCAGGGCAGAAGAAGGGUGUGCCGCAGCUCAGCCCGACACCCGGACAGUAACUGAGGAAGCGUUUGAGUGCUUGUAGGUGAAGGCAUAUGGCUGUUUCUUCUUUCAUGGUGUGUUGAUGUGGGUAGGAGGGGGCUCUCUCUGAGUUACCUGUCAUGUGAGCUGUGUUUACGUUGGCUUUUCCUUGUGCCCUGUUUUAGUCAUUGUAAAUGUACAGCAUCUUGUCAAUGCAAGGAACAGUCCUUAAAGAGGCAAAAUAGCUCCUGUUACAGCGACCCCAAUUUUCCUGAAGCAGAUUCAUUAAGCAGAGAUGCACAGUCUGCGCAGCCCUGUGGUUUGGGGUUUUUUAUCAUUAGUAUUUUGCCACCAAAGAAUGUAAAAAUGUAUGUGUACCUCUGUAUAUGUACAGAAUGAAUGUGUGGACGUGUGUGCAUGUGUCUAUACACAUACAGUCAUGGUGUGAAAUCAUGCUCCUGCUGAAGCUAGCUGGGCUGUGAUUUUCACUCUGGGGCCUUACUGUUCCACCUGGACAGGAGGAAAAGAGUAUCUUUUUGUAGGAACUCAGUGCCACUCAAUGGGAUUCACCCUGUGGGGCAGGAGACGGCCUGCCAUGCAAGUGGAAAGUUUAGGGUCCUGAAUUCCUGUGUAUUAAUACACACUCAUACUGUACAUAGCAGCAUGCACACAGAGGAGAGGGCACAGAACACCUCCCUCUUGUUGAGCUGUGGCUGUACCGUGCAUUUGUACAGUUUCAAAGAGAUCUCCGCCAACAAUUUUACAUACUCGAUAAAUGCAUUCAGAUGCUAAGAUCAAGAAGUUUUGUUCACUUGCCUGUGCCCUUCAUGCUGCUUUUCUCUGCUGCAAGAUAACGUGGUGGUGAUUUUAUUUCAAAUUCAUGGAUCUGAAUAUGAAAUGGCCCUGCUAAAAGCCUGCUGUGUUUUUGCUGUUCUUUACUCUUUUUUAUGAUUAUCCUUGAUGCAAGUGGAGAGGGUACCACAGCGAACACUCCAAUAUGUUUGCCCUUAUCUCGCUGUUUUAUAACUGACUUUUGUAACUGCCCUCAGCAUGUGUGUUUGAAGAACUUUUAGUCAACUCAUCUGCCUUUAAGUGGAGGACAUAUACAGCAGAGAAGGUGAAUUGAACACAGUCACCCUAGCCAGUGCUGAAACAUUUUGAAGAGAACUGCAAACAACCGUAAUGUAAAAGGGAACUUUUUAAGCCAAAGUCUGUAUAUGACCAGUUGAUCCUCAAGGAUGCACAAGAUUCUCUCUUUCCAUUGCCUUAGCCUCUAAGAUUAAGGGUGUGUCUGCACAGCAGUAACAGCUGAGGCUUCCUUGAUGCUAGUUAACUGGGGAAGUGCAGCAAUGUAGUCAUGGUAACAGAGUUCAAUUUUGGCUACAAAACACACUUGAAAAGUAGAAUUAAUUAAUAAUCUCUGCUGGGCUCCUAAUGCCAUAGCGAUGUUGCUUCUGGUACCCAAGCUAGGUCAGGUACGUCAGCAAGUUAUUCUACUCUGCUCUCAUUAGGGACAGGCUAAUCGCUGAAGAUUGUUCAAGAUAGUUGAACAAAACACAAUAAACCUUUGCAGCCUCGGUCAUCCAUCACAUUGCAUUCAGCAGAGCAUCCAAGUGAUGAGAGAAGCAGGCAGCUGAUAACACUGCAGUGAGAUCUGUGGUGGAACAUCCUAGCUAUGCUGUCCCUCUCUUGAUCGAAACAUUUCAUUCUUUGUUUGCCGUUGCCUUGGAUCUUCACGUGUCAAAAUCCAUGGGUAAGAAGCCACUAAUGAGCAAUGGUUCUUAAGGAUAGCAUUGAGUUUGAUCUGGUUUUCCCCUCAGCUUGUUAAAAAGUCAAUCGUACAAGUAGACAGAAGGCGACAGUUGUGUAAUUAAUAAAGUGCGGUGUGUAUUUGGAAGCUAUGUAAAGGAGGAAGCUGGUUAGGAAACAGAAAGAAGUGGCAUAUAAUUAAUUUCACUGUAAAAUAAGCAAGACCUACGAGCAUCUGGAUUUUGAAGUGGAUCUUUAUGUGCUGCUUAUCAUUAGGGACUUUUAAAAUCUCUCCUAAGAAUGCUUAGAACAAAGAAAUGAAGGUAAUGGGGGUUUGUGGAGGUCUUUGAGGUCUGAAACAAGAGGAAGACACCCUGAACGUCAUGGUCAUGUUGAACUGCAAUAUUUGCUAAGUGAUAAAAGAAGCAAAAAUGCAACAGAAUGCAUUUAUGCUGCCAGAGGUCCUAUAUGUGGUUGGAGGGAGAAAAUCAAACAAGUUUUUAAAACUGAAUAUUUUAAUUAAAAUAUGCUGAGUGUGCAAAGUAGGUGGCUUUUGGUGGCCACUUGCUAACAGGAAACAAAUUUGUGCUUCAUUUAGACAUAGUACAGCAUCUGUGUCUGAAACUUAACGUAGCUGAUGAAUUACUAAUAGUGGGGCAUAUGUGUUCUCCAAGAAUUGUGCAAAAAUUGUGCAGAACUUUGUAUGUUCCUUAUCGAGGAGAAAAUUAAAUUUGGGGAGUGGGGUUCAGGAAAAAAAGCUGGUUUCCUUCAGAUUCUCUGGAUGCAAGUGUCUUACAUGUGAAGCAUAUUCAUCCUUGUCUGUUUUUCCAUUAUGUUUUUCUGUAUUUUUGCCUAAGUUCCCACUCUCUAUCUGUAAAACCGAUAUCCAUAAAUUUCUGAAGGAUAAGUUGGUCUUGUUUAUGCAGUGGUGUACAGUCGGAUUAAUUCCUCUGUCCUCAGUGUUUACUGCAACAAGAUGAUUGAGCACAGUAACAAUGCAAGAACUACAGAAAAGAUUUCCAUUUUGGUUCACGACAGAAAUGGCCAGCGGCCAAUCUGUAAGGUGACAGCCGUUCCUCCGGAGUCUGCUAGCAUGUCCUGACGGUGGGCAUAACAUUUGUUCCCCUUCAUCUAACUAGUGGAUUCCAGAUGAAACGGAGGAAUUGGUUAUAUUUGCAUGCCUGUGUCUGUCUGCCUAAUCAGGCUGUAACCUUCAGGGUUUGAGUUGCUGCCUGCUCCUCCAUCAUCAAAAGAGCUCACCGUAAGGAUGUAACAGUUGUUUUAAAACGUGUGUGAGAUACGGAUUGGUUUUGUGACAAAUAUAAAGGUCUUGGAAACACGAUGUAGUAACACAUGUUCCUGUUUCUCACUUAGAGAUCCACGAAGGCUGAUUUUAAACACUUGCAGCCGUAGUAACUACCUCUCUUCUCUUUCUCGUAGUACCAGUCAGCUGCAAACGUAGUGCCCAGGGUUUUGUAUCUCCACCAAGCUCUCAGAGUCGCUGCUGGUGUUCAUUUCAGCACCCAUCUGCUGCCAAUAACUUGUCUGUCCGUCUACCACCAUAAUGCCUUCCUGAUUUGAAAGCCGAGGUAAACUUUAGCAUAUGAAAAGGCCGCCAAAGGGAAGCUAUCCUAAUUUCCUUUCAUCUCCCUUGGUGUUUAAAAGCAGACUGGAUACAAAUACUUUGUAUUCCCUCACUCCCAACUGAGGGAUAACUUUCAGUAGCAGUUAUGUGGCUGCGGUGAAGGAACACCCCCAGGGAAAGCUGUGUGCCACAAUUGAGAGUGAAGGAUCCCUCACAAAAAUUAAAUUCAUCACUCUUCACCUUUCAGUAAGGCCAAGCAUCAGGCUCAUGAAUUCCAGAUGUUUUAUAGCCCCUUGGCUGCUACGUGUGACCUUUCCGUUUGAUAGAUCCCUGUCCAUAAUCCAAAAUCAACAAAAAAACGGUGUUUUAAUGAGGGUCUUUCUUGCUUCGAUAAAUACUGGAAACAGCAUCAAAAGCAGUUUUCAAAAUACGUUUCUUUUUCUCUUUUGACCCCCUUUUAUUGUAAAUCUCUGUAGUGACUUACUCUGUCAGCAAAAUAAGGCAUCAGAUUUGUAGAUAGACAAGACUUUGGCUUUAGCUUAAUAGAAAGUCACAUGUGAAUAUCCAGAUAAGAGUUCAUGCCCGGAUUUAACAGAAAUUUGGAGUCAGAGUCUUGAUGUGACUGAACAGCAAGGGCCUCCUGCAAGGUACUCCAUUCCCCCUCAAGGUAUUAGACAACGUGGCAGGACAGCACCUUAAAUCCCCGGUGUGCCAGGCUCUAAGCACACCCUGGCGAAUGCUAAAAGCCAUUGAGAAGUCACAAGCAAGGACUACCGCAUCUAGUGCAAGCCUAAGGGGCAGGAUGCCACUGUCGGUGCAGUUCCUUUUGUGUCCCCGGCAGUGUAACAGCAGCCAGUGUCCAUCCAAAAUGCUUCAGAAACCAUUUGACUGAUGGUAGUGGUGUGGAUUCAGGUGUGCGCGCGCUGUGUGGUUAUUGUUUUUACAAUGCUCUGAUUUCACUGAGGCGAAACGGGGACAAGGUGGCAGCCUACCAGUGUCACAUCCUUUAUGCUCCCUCCACAGCUGGCAGGCAGGCAUGCCGCUGCCUGCCAUUAUCUAAAGGAUGUGGCAGGGACGCAGUGUCAGACAGAAGCACGAGCGUAUUCCUCUCUCUUUUUCACUCCUGUGCACUCGCUACACGUGUACCGCUCCUCUCGUCACCUGCCCGGCAGGUCCUGCGUGCGUCCGCAGGCAGAGCCUGACCCUCUGCCGCGUUGGGAUGAUGGCUCUGCUUUUCCAGCAUUGGGGCGCAAGGAACUUGUCUAAGCUGGAGGGACUACGACUGUUGAUGUUUCUCUGCAAGAGCCAGGUACUUGCAGGCUCUGAAACAAAAAUAAGCAUUUUGGAAAGAGAAAAUGUUUGGUUAUGCGCAACUGUUGAAAAUGAUGUGCAAACACCUGAACAACAUUUAAAGCCUACCUUCCUUUUUUUUUUUUUUUGACUGGGGCAGCAGCUGGCUGAAUUGGCAUUUCAGAUGCGAUCCCAAGCAGUUUUUGGCAAGCGGUUUAAUAGUUACAUAGCAAGUAAUGCAAGGAGUUUCAGAGAUGUGGUAUAGUUUUAUGUUUACUCAAAAAAAAGUUAAAAUUAUUUCUAAUUAGUCCAUUUCACAUUGAGUGGCAGAUAGAGAUAUAUUUUGUUUAAUCACUAUCUAAUACAGAGGCUUCUGUGAAAGAAAAGGUUUAUUUGUAGCAUUGGGUGCAUUUCUCCUUUUUAAAGACUGUCUUUGCACCUAUAGUGUCCUUUUUUUGUGAGCUGGGAAUUGUAAAAAAAUGUAAAGUAGAAAAGGACGUGUUUCUUAGACGAAGGAGAAAUACUGUAAAAUUGUGUAAAUGUCACUACUCAUGUUUUUUCGUGUUCUGUGUAGCAUAGUGUAAAAUAGGCUUUCCAGCAGUGUUAUUCUGUGAAUUGUAAUUUAAAAACCAAGCCAUGCAUGGUCAGAGAUAUUAUCUACAGGUCCUUCCGUUUGGUUGAGUUUUUGGUUUUGUUUGUUGUUUUCUCAUUUUAGGUAAAUUUGUUUUAUGUUAAAUUUAAUUGUCCAUGAAACUGCAUUUUUUGUUUCCUGAGUUUUAUUUCAUAAAGAACUUGAAUUACUCUUUAAGAUUUUAUUACACAUGAAGCUCACCUACCGUUUGUAUUGAUCCUUCAGAAGCUUUCUCACAUUUAGUGUAAACCCGGGGUGGGGGUUCUUUUUAACACACCCCUCAUCUGCCUCUUCUCCUUUCCCCACUUUACUGUCUGGAAAGAUGCAGUCACACUUUUUUAUUUUUAUUUUUUUCUGUGCCACGCAGGGUCAAUACGGAAAACCGACCGCAGACCUGUGUCCAAAAUUUCUUGAUAUAAGUAGUUAAAAAGCUCACCUCUACAGCAUUAUGUAAACACAUCUUGCAAUAAAGCUUUAUAAAGCAC